rnacentral:ncRNA from 1 species
GCAGAGUAGAAAACUGUGCGUAAAGUGCCUGACCAACGGGGAGUUGUGGCAGGACGAAAGGCAAAACGCGCCUGCGGUACGGUUUUCGCAUCCCACUGC